UAAUGAUAAUUUGCACUAUUUAUAUCUUUUUUAUAGCUAUGUUUGCAGGAGCUACAGCAUGUCAUCAUAAGUGUUAUCUUUCUUAAGUAACUUCCUUUUGGUAUUUGCUAGGUCAGAGGUUACACAUUUAAUGUUAAUUCAGGGGCUCUCGAGUCCCUCGAGCUUGAUUCAUUCGGUAUCUCAAUCAUUCCAUCAAGUUUGGUGAGUACUUAUGCUUUGUUUGUUGAGGAUGUGCUAGAAGUUGCAUCAGAUAAAGUGUUCGUGCAUGAAGCUACAGCAGCACGCUUACAGAGGCUAACAAAGGGUUGGUGGGGUGCCCAGAACGUUGGGAAAUCCUUCAAUGAAGUGGAAGAAUAUUAUGAUCUUGAAGAAGAUAGAUUAGCUAAUGAUCACCGCACGAGAAGAGAAUUCCGGCGCAGGAGAUCCCGUCCUAAAUCAAGGGAAAAUCAGAACGACUUGGACCUUCCAAUGGACUUUUUAUGAUCCCUGGGCAUACGCACUAUCCUGGCAUUUAGCGUACAACCAUUACUCUGUGGAGGACCUUCCAGUCGGAGUCCAUAAAAGGGCUCUUUGGUGAUGCUCGUUACCCGUCGAUCAGCUCAAAAGUGCACACAAGAGUCUUUUCUGUCAAGUACUAUAGUGAUUUCGACGGAGCAUUCAACAGAUCUCGAGGAACGACAGCUGCAAUUGGAUGCAGGUUUGGAUGAGCAAAAGGAGGCCAAAAGAGUAGGCGAUUAAAGAUUGACUUGGUAGCUUUUUCCAAUCUUUGCUCUAAUGCGUUAAGGAUUCUUAAUGAUUUGAGGCAUGUAUAAAGCCUUGUAUUGCGCCAAUACCAUGAGGUUUGAUGGGCCCUGCACUAUGGCAUUCCGUGGAGCACUGUGAAUAAUUCCAUAUUGUUGCUAAUUGCUGUCGCAACAGCCACAUUGCGCA